GACGAACGCUGGCGGCGUGCUUAACACAUGCAAGUCGAGCGGAAAGGCCCCUUCGGGGGUACUCGAGCGGCGAACGGGUGAGUAACACGUGGGCAACCUGCCCCAGAGAUCGGGACAACAGUUCGAAAGGACUGCUAUACCGGAUACGGUGUCAUCUGCCAAGUAGAUGCCACUAAAGGUAGCUUCGGCCUCCGCUCUGGGAUGGGCCCGCGGCCCAUUAGCUUGUUGGUGAGGUAACGGCUCACCAAGGCGACGAUGGGUAGCUGGUCUGAGAGGACGAUCAGCCACACUGGGACUGAGACACGGCCCAGACUCCUACGGGAGGCAGCAGUGGGGAAUCUUGCGCAAUGGGCGGAAGCCUGACGCAGCAACGCCGCGUGAGCGAAGAAGGCCUUCGGGUUGUAAAGCUCUGUCAGGAGGGAAGAAACGCUUCAAUUUAACAGACUGAAGCCUGACUUAACCCGGAGAGGAAGCAGUGGCUAACUCUGUGCCAGCCGCCGCGGUAAUAC
rnacentral:rRNA from 1 species